rnacentral:rRNA from 1 species
AGUUGAGUGGCGAACGGGUGAGUAACACGUGGGCAACCUGCCCAAAAGAGGGGGAUAACACUUGGAAACAGGUGCUAAUACCGCAUAACCUUAGUUACCGCAUGGUAACUAUGUAAAAGGUGGCUAUGCUACCGCUUUUGGAUGGGCCCGCGGCGCAUUAGCUAGUUGGUGGGGUAAAGGCUUACCAAGGCAAUGAUGCGUAGCCGAACUGAGAGGUUGAUCGGCCACAUUGGGACUGAGACACGGCCCAAANNNNNACGGGAGGCAGCAGUAGGGAAUCUUCCACAAUGGGCGAAAGCCUGAUGGAGCAACGCCGCGUGGGUGAAGAAGGUCUUCGGAUCGUAAAACCCUGUUGUUAGAGAAGAAAGUGCGUGGGAGUAACUGUUCACGUUUUGACGGUAUCUAACCAGAAAGCCACGGCUAACUACGUGCCAGCAGCCGCGGUAAUACGUAGGUGGCAAGCGUUAUCCGGAUUUAUUGGGCGUAAAGGGAACGCAGGCGGUCCUUUAAGUCUGAUGUGAAAGCCUUCGGCUUAACCGGAGUAGUGCAUUGGAAACUGGGAGACUUGAGUGCAGAAGAGGAGAGUGGAACUCCAUGUGUAGCGGUGAAAUGCGUAGAUAUAUGGAAGAACACCAGUGGCGAAAGCGGCUCUCUGGUCUGUAACUGACGCUGAGGUUCGAAAGCGUGGGUAGCAAACAGGAUUAGAUACCCUGGUAGUCCACGCCGUAAACGAUGAAUGCUAAGUGUUGGAGGGUUUCCGCCCUUCAGUGCUGCA